UUCUUCUGCCACCUGAGUGGUAAUACAUGAACUCCCUGCCGAGAAAAGACGGUAGCUAACGAUCCAGAUAAUAAGAAUGCAGCAAAUUCCUGGACUGUCACCGUGGACCUCCUCAUCCAUUUGAGUGCGGUGAUCAGAAAUCUUGGGAAACAGAGUGAACUACUGGCACAAGAGGAUUCCACGAACAGCGUCAGCACCAUACGAUCAUUGAUGUUUGUGCACAAACUAUUUUCCAAGAUGCCGUUCUUCUUUGCAAAGUUCCCAGCAGAGACUGCAAUUUUAAGCUCCCU
rnacentral:lncRNA from 1 species